rnacentral:rRNA from 1 species
ACACAUGCAAGUCGGAACGGGGUUGGGAGCUUGCUCAAUCUAGUGGCGAACGGUGAGUAAUACAUACGGAACGUACCGUGGUAGUGGGGGAUAACGUAGCGAAAGUUACGCUAAUACCGCAUACGAUCCACGGAUGAAAGCAGGGGACCUUCGGGCCUUGUGCUAUACGAGCGGCCGAUGUCUGAUUAGCUAGUUGGUGAGGUAAAGGCUCACCAAGGCGACGAUCAGUAGCGGGUCUGAGAGGAUGAUCCGCCACACUGGGACUGAGACACGGCCCAGACUCCUACGGGAGGCAGCAGUGGGGAUAUUGGACAAUGGGCGCAAGCCUGAUCCAGCCAUGCCGCGUGUCUGAAGAAGGCCUUCGGGUUGUAAAGGACUUUUGUCAGGGAGCAAAACUUACUGGUUAAUACCUGGUGAGGUUGAGAGUACCUGAAGAAUAAGCACCGGCUAACUACGUGCCAGCAGCCGCGGUAAUACGUAGGGUGCAAGCGUUAAUCGGAAUUACUGGG